rnacentral:rRNA from 1 species
CCCUUAGAUGUCCUGGGCCGCACGCGCGUUACACUGAUGCAUUCAACGAGCUUAUAACCUUGGCCGAGAGGCCUGGGCAAUCUUGUUAACGUGCAUCGUGAUAGGGAUAGAUUAUUGAAAUUAUUAAUCUUGAACGAGGAAUUCCUAGUAAACGCAGAUCAUCAAUCUGCAUUGAUUACGUCCCUGCCCUUUGUACACACCGCCCGUCGCACCUACCGAUUGGAUGGUCCGGUGAAGCCUCGGGAUUGUGGUUCUUGCCGCUUUAUUGUAGCGUGACCGCGAGAACUUGUCUAAACCUUAUCAUCUAGAGGAAGGUGAGGUCGUAACA